UACGUAGGGACCGAGCGUUGUCCGGAUUCAUUGGGCGUAAAGAGCUCGUAGGCGGCUGUUCAAGUCGAACGUGAAAACUCGGAGCUCAACUCCGAGCCUGCGUUCGAUACUGGACGGCUAGAGUCUGGUAGGGGGAUCUGGAAUUCCUGGUGUGGCGGUGGAAUGCGCAGAUAUCAGGAGGAACACCGGUGGCGAAGGCAAUCCCCUGGGCCUGCACUGACGCUCAUGCACGAAAGCGUGGGGAGCAAACAGG
rnacentral:rRNA from 1 species